rnacentral:rRNA from 1 species
UGCAGUCGAACGCUGAAGCAUCCAGCUUGCUGGGUGUGGAUGAGUGGCGAACGGGUGAGUAACACGUGAGUAACCUGCCCCUGACUUCGGGAUAAGCCUGGGAAACUGGGUCUAAUACCGGAUAUGACUACUGGCCGCAUGGUCUGGUGGUGGAAAGGGUUUUACUGGUUGGGGAUGGACUCGCGGCCUAUCAGUUUGUUGGUGGGGUAGUGGCCUACCAAGACGACGACGGGUAGCCGGCCUGAGAGGGCGACCGGCCACACUGGGACUGAGACACGGCCCAGACUCCUACGGGAGGCAGCAGUGGGGAAUAUUGCACAAUGGGGGGAACCCUGAUGCAGCGACGCCGCGUGCGGGAUGACGGCCUUCGGGUUGUAAACCGCUUUCAGUAGGGAAGAAGCGAAAGUGACGGUACCUGCAGAAGAAGUACCGGCUAACUACGUGCCAGCAGCCGCGGUAAUACGUAGGGUACAAGCGUUGUCCGGAAUUAUUGGGCGUAAAGAGCUCGUAGGUGGUUGGUCACGUCUGCUGUGGAAACGCAACGCUUAACGUUGCGCGUGCAGUGGGUACGGGCUGACUAGAGUGCAGUAGGGGAGUCUGGAAUUCCUGG